rnacentral:rRNA from 1 species
UACGGAGGGUGCAAGCGUUAAUCGGAAUUACUGGGCGUAAAGCGUGCGCAGGCGGUUUGCUAAGUCUGUUGUGAAAUCCCCGAGCUCAACUUGGGAAUUGCAAUGGAUACUGGCAGGCUGGAGUAUGGUAGAGGAGGUGGAAUUCCCGGUGUAGCAGUGAAAUGCGUAGAGAUCGGGAGGAACACCAGUGGCGAAGGCGGCUACCUGGACCGAGCACUGACACUGAGUCACGAAAGCGUGGAGGAGCAAACAGG